UAAACAAGUUAAGUCACUAAAGAUUUCCUGAUCCUGAUGCUGGCCAGACUAUGUGGAAAUGUGGUUCCUGAACAUGUUUCUGGAGGUGCUGGAUAUGAUUACAAACCUCAGGAAGCAGGUUGGUGGUGGAACGAUCAAUUGACAAGUAUGACCAUCCCAUUUAAGAGACCCACUUGUUGUAACCAUGAGAAAUAAUGAUGAAGAUACAAGGAAAAUAAGAUUUGGACUUUACAAUGAAAGAUCCUCAUUGCAGAAUUAGGGAGCUGUCACCACAGAUCGUGUGUAUGAGAACUCAGUUCUUAUAAUGGGAACCUGGGCCAAUUAACAUUCACCCUCAACAUGGCGCUUCAUCUGAUGAAAGCCAUUUCACGCCCAGGAGAAGAGUAAAAGAAACACAAGAACAGCUGCAGCAGUCAGAGCUCACCUUCGGACACCAGAUGGCUCUUGGUGAGAAGGUGACUCAGGACAACUGGAGACUUUAGCCGAUCCAGAAGCUGGUGUCACUCCCAUGAGUCACAACAACAAGCACUCUACCAAAACAAAUGCCAAGAAGGACCAGGAAAAUGCUGGGGCCAUUUCAGUUGUAAGUCUGUCGGGACACCCUCAUUUGCGAUACAGCAUGCUCUCCAGCCUUUUCCCUGUUUUGUGUGUUGUGUGUGUGUGAUAUGUCUGCCUGUUUCUAUUUGCCAAAUGCACAUCCUUAACCCAAGAGUCUACAGGCUUCUCUCUUUUCAGCCUGUCACCUUUUUUCUGGUAAAUUUAGUGGCCAAAGGAACUUAGAGAUUGAGGAU
rnacentral:lncRNA from 1 species